GGGUCAGUAGGUUGGUCGUGCCACCGGUACGUACUGGUCUCACUGAUUCCUCCUUCCUGAAGAACCGUAAUGCCAUUAAUUUGGUGUUGCGGGGAAACAGGACUGUUACUUUGAAAAAAUUAGAGUGUUUAAAGCAAGCUAACGCUUGAAUACAUUAGCAUGGAAUAAUGAAAUAGGACGAUCGAUCCUAUUUUGUUGGUUCUAGGAUUGACGUA
rnacentral:rRNA from 1 species